UCCAAACAUUGAUGCUUUUUUCCCCAAGGGCCAUCCACCCCCUCAUAACACUUAGGGUUGCCCGCCCUCCAGGAUCAUCGUGGAGUCUCCGGGAAUUAAAAGUGGACACCAAAACUGGACACAGGAUUCCAGCAGCGCAUCAGUCACAUCAGUGCCGCAUAAAGAGCUGGUUGUCCUUGGUGAGUGAAGACCACGAGUUCAGAGCUGUGCUACUUUGGGUGACGCCUGCUGCUAACACUUCAGGUACAACAAUGGAAAAGCCAGAGAGGGCGGAAGGCCCAUCAGCAAGGACAAUGGACUGUGAAAAUCUUGGCCUUCCUGUGGACCCUCCAUACUGCCCCUGACUCAUGGACGCUGUGAUCCUACAGAGUCAGGUGGUCUUGUCAUCUGAUACUAAAGCAUUACCUGGGAGUCGGGACUUCUUGUAACUUUCCACUGUAAGGGAAGGUGGGGUCAAGUUUGGGAAACAAAGGAUUCCCACCUUAUGUUAAUCCUAUUUAAGGGUAUGUCUUCACUACCAGUCAG